rnacentral:lncRNA from 1 species
UUUGUUAGUACUGAUUGGGGGUGAUUGUUGUGCUUCUUAUUAUCAAGUCUCCGUGGUUUUGUCGAAUUAUAUCAUGUUUGCUAUCAUCGAUGUGGUUUUGAUGUGGUUUUGUCGGAUUGAAGAACGCCAAUUCUGAAUAUGAUUCUUUAUGUGAUGAUGGCGAUUUUUGAAUCUUUUGAUCAAAUUCCUUUAUCCUUUUCAGCUGGUGACGGGGUCUCUGAGAUUUUUCUUCUACUUUCCUUUCUAUUAUUUGAUUUAUCUGGUAUUGAUCACGAAAAUAAGAAUUGGACUAUGAUUUGUUUAUCUGCAGUGGUGUAACACGUCUCUAUACUUCUUCCUUUUAUUAAGAGCUUAGUUCGUUUUCUUGAAUUUUUGGGUUGUACAGGGAAGACACACAAUGGAUGUGAAAUGAAGAUUAUGUUUUGUUACCCUUAACUUUUUUAUGGGUUUAUUCGUGACUGAUCAUUUGAUUUCGUAGUCUAACUUUGUGUUUAUGUUCACUCCCCUUCAGCAAUUGGAGUUUCUGAGAUUUGAAACCCUAAAAAGUUUAAAACGGUUGCAGCUCAGGAUAUCCCAAUUCUCUCUAUCUAUUGUUUAAUUUCUCUCUACUUGAUCUCCAAGGAUUGAAUUGUGUUCGACGUUUGAAUUAUUUUCCCUUAAUGUCCUGCAACAUCUCAUGGAGUAUGUUAUGAGGCCCCAAGGAUUGAAUUGGUGUUUGAAUUAUUUUCGCUUAAUGUCCUGCAGAGUAUGUUAUGAGACAUAAGGGUUGAAUUGUGAUUUGUUUCCUGUUUGGAUGAUUUGCACAGUGUCCUGCAUCUUAUAGAAUAUGAAUGACUUGGUUUUCGCACGGUUCUCGCGAGUAUGUUAUGGCCACCAUUCUUCCUUGGUUUUUUAAGUCUUCAAUUUAUCUUAUCAUUCUAUACUUCGUCCUCGAUUACCAGUUAUACUUUCUUCAAUUAUUGUUCUUUACAGGGGUGUGGGGGUAGGACAGGGAUCAAGUUCCUAUAACUAGUAAAUUCAUUUACGUGAAUUUUGAGUAUAAUUCUCUAUUUGAGUAUGAUGAGUUUUAUACCUUAUUGCUUAAAUUUCUUUUCAGCUGGUGGCUGGUUUUUUGGCAUUUCUUUUGCCUAUAGAUGAUAUGGAAAGCACACCGACCAAGGGCUCGACAUAACCUUAAGUCUUUUUUGAGUUUCCCUUAUAUUUUUUUUUAUGGUAUUACAAAAGGAUUGAACUAUGAUUUGUUUAUCUGCAGUGGUGUUUGGAUUAGUUGGGUAAUGUCACAUAUUCAACUUAUAAAGUUUCUGUAAUUAGUAAAUUCAUUUAGGUGAAUUCUGAGUACAAUUUUCUAUUUGAAGAUGACGAAUUUUAAACCUUUUGCAUAAAUUUCUUUGCACCUUUUCAGUUGGUGGCUGGUUCUCUGGCAUUUCUUUUGCCUAUGGAUGAUAUGAAAAGCACAAUAACCAAGGGGCUCGUCAUAACCUAAGUCUUUUUUGAGUUUUCCUUCUUUUUUUCUUUUUUCCUGGUAUUGUUCACAGUACAUAAGGAUUAAACUAUGGUUUGUUUAUUUGCAGUGGUGUUUGGAUUAGAUGGGUAACAACGCAUAUUCAUCGUAUCAAGUUUCUAUAACUAGUAAAUUCAUUUACGUCAAUUUUGACUAUAAUUUUCUAUUUGAGUAUGACGAGGAAAAUUACUUCAAUUUCUUUUCAUUUGACCAAGGGCUCAACAUAACCUUAAAUCUUUUUUGAGUUUCCCUUAUAUUUUUUUUAUGGUAUUACAUAAGGAUUGAACUAUGAUUUGUUUAUCUGCAGUGGUGUUUAGAUUAGUUGGGUAACGUGCAGAUUCAUUUUAUCAAGUUUCUAUAACUAGUAAAUUCAUUUACGUGAAUUUUGAGUAUAAUUAUCUAUUUGAGUAUGAUGAGUUUUAAACCUGUUGCGUAAAUUUCUUUUCAGCUGGUAGCUGGUUUUUUGGCAUUUCUGUUGCUUAUGGAUGAUAUGAAAAGCACAACAACCAAGGGCUAGACAUAACCUUAAGUCUUUUUUGAGUUUCCCUUCUAUUAUUUUUUUAUGGUUCUACAUAAGGAUUGAACUAUGAUUUGUUUAUCUGCAGUGGUGUUUUGGAUUAGUUGGGUAAAUUUCUUUGCUCCUUUUCAGCUGGAGUUCUCUGGCAUUUCUUUCUCCUAUGGAUGAUAUGAAAAGCAGAAGGACCAAGGGCCUCGACAUAACCUAUUUUUCUGCUACGGACUAUGAUUUGUUUAUCUGCAGUGGUGUAACACGUUUCUAUACUUCUUCCUUUUAUUAAGAGCUUAGUUCGUUUUCUUGAUUUUUUUGCUGUAUAGGUAGUUCGUUUUCUUGAAUUUUUGGGCUAUACAGGGAAGGCACGGAAUGGAUGUGAAAUGAAGUAUUAUGUUUUGUUACCUUUAAGUCUUUUUUGAGUUUCCCUUCUAUUAUUUUUUUAUGGUUUUACAUAAGGAUUGAACUAUGAUUUGUUUAUCUGCAGUGGUGUUUUGGAUUAGUUGGGUAACGUUGCAUAUUCUUCUUAUCAAGUUUCUAUAAUUAGUAAAUUCAUUUAGGUCUAUAUGAGGAUGACGAGUUUUGAACCUUCUGCGUAAAUUUCUUUGCACCUUUUCAGCUGGAGUUCUCUGGCAUUUAUUUCUCCUAUGGAUGAUAUGAAAAGCAGAAGGAUCAAGGGGCUCGACAUAACCUAAGUCUUUUUUGAGUUUUAUUUCUUCUUUUUUUUCCUGGUAUUUAUGACAGUACAUAAGGAUUGAACUAUGAUUUGUUUAUCUGCAGUGGUGUUUGGAUUAGUUGGAUAACGACGCAUAUUCAUCUUACAAGUUUCUAUAACUAGUAAAUUCAUUUACGUGAAUUUUGAGUAUAAUUCUCUAUUUGAGUGUGACGAGUUUUAAACCUUUUGCCUAUCUGGUAUUGAUCACGAAAAUAAGGAUUGGACUAUGAUUUGUUUAUCUGCAGUGGUGUAACACGUCUCUAUACUUCUUCCUUUUAUUAAGAGCUUAGUUCGUUUUCUUGAAUUUUUGGGUUGUACAGGGAAGACACACAAUGGAUGUGAAAUGAAGAUUAUGUUUUGUUACCCUUAACUUUUUUAUGGGUUUAUUCGUGACUGAUCAUUUGAUUUCGUAGUCUAACUUUGUGUUUAUGUUCACUCCCCUUCAGCAAUUGGAGUUUCUGAGAUUUGAAACCCUAAAAAGUUUAAAACGGUUGCAGCUCAGGAUAUCCCAAUUCUCUCUAUCUAUUGUUUAAUUUCUCUCUACUUGAUCUCCAAGGAUUGAAUUGUGCUCGACUAUUUUACCUUAAAGUCCUGCAGCAUCUCAUGGAGUGUGUUAUGAGGCCCUAAGGGUUGAAUUGGUGUUUGAAUUAUUUUCGCCUAAUGUCCUGCAGAGUAUGUUAUGAGAUUUAAGGGUUGAAUUGUGAUUUGUUUCCUGUUUGGAUGAUUUGCAUAGUGUCCUGCAUCCUAUGGAAUAUGUAUGGUUUUCGCACGGUCAUCGCGAGUAUGUUAUGGCCACCAUCUUCCUUGGUUAUUUAAGUCUUCAAUUUAUCUUAUCGUUCUAUAGUUCAUCCUUGAUUACCAGUUAUACUUUGUUGAAUUAUUGUUCUUCACAGGGAUGUGUGGGGGUAGGACAGGGAUGUGUGGGUAGGACUUUCCUCGUGGUUGGUUGAAAAUGAUGGAUGAGUCAUGCUUGACGGUAUGAAAAACACAAUGACAAAGGGCUCGACAUAACCUAAGUCUUUUUUGAGUUUUCCUUAUAUUUUUUCUUUUUCCUGUUAUUGAUCACAGUACAUAAGGAUAUGAUUUGUUUAUCUGCAGUGGUGUUUGGAUUGGUUACGAUGCAUAUUCAUCUUACAAGUGGUGGCUGGUUUUUUGGCAUUUCUUUUACCUAUGGAUUAUAUGAAAAGCACAACGACCAAGCAUUUCUAUUAUUUUUAUGGUAUUACAUAAGGAUUGAACUAUGAUUUGUUUAUAUGCAGUGGUGUUUGGAUUAGUUGUGUAACGUCUAUGUUCAUCGAAUCAAGUUUCUGUAAUUAGUAAAUUCAUUUAGGUGAAUUCUGAGUAUAAUUCUCUAUUUGAGGAUGACGAGUUUUAUCCUUUUGCAUAAAUUUCUUCUCACCUUUUCAGUUGGUGGCUGGUUCUCUGGCAUUUCUUUUGGCUAUGGAUGAUAUGAAAAGCACAACGACCAAGGGGCUCGACAUAACCUUCAAGUCUUUUUUGAGUUUUCCUUCUAUUUUUCUUUAUCCCGGUAUUGAUCACAAUACAUAAGGAUAUGAUUUGUUUAUCUGCAGUGGUGCUUGGAUUAGUUGGGUAACGUAGCAUAUUCAUCUUAUCAAAUUUCUAUAAUUAGUAAAUUCAUUUAGGUGAAUUCUGAGUAUAAUUCUCUAUUUGAGGAUGAAGAGUUUUGAACCUUUCGCAUAAAUUUUUUUUCACCUUUUCAGCUGGUGGCUGGUUCUCUGGCUUUUUUUUUGCCUAUGGUGAUAUGAAGAGAACAACGACCAAGGGCUCAACAUAACCUAAGUCUUUUUUUAGUUUUGCUUCUAUUAUUUAUAUUUUCUGGUAUUGAUCACCUACCACAAGGAUUGUAAUAUGUUUUUUUUUAUCUGCAGUGGUGUUUGUGUAACGUCGCAUAUUCAUCUUAUCAACUUUCUAUACUUCCUCCCUCUUAUUAGCGAUUAUCUUUUCCUUCAAUUUUUGGACUGUACAGGGUUUAUCGUUUCCUUCAGUUAAAUUCGGUUUUCGUGUUCAUUCCUUUUCAGCAAGUCCCGAGUCUGAGAUUUCUUUUGGCGGUUGAGGAACUAGAGUUUAGAAUGGUUGCACAUCAGGAUAUCCUAAUUUCUCAAUGAGUGUAUCCUCUAUUAUUUUAUUUAAUCUCAGCAGCGGUGUUUAGAUGAUUUUUGCUUAUUGUACUUCAUCUCAUGAGUGUGUUAGGAGGGCGACAGUGUCUCCCUUAAUUUUUUGAUUUAUCUAAUCAUCCGUUAUAGAUUUGUUGUAUUAUUGUUCUUUAGGGAUGUGUGGGCUUAUAGUUUUGUUGAAUUAUUGUUCUUUACAGGGAUGUGUUGGGUAGGACGUGGAAACCAUGUCGGGAUAUUUCUUGAACUGUGAAUCAUUCGUUUUUUUUCCUACUCUUACACUAGUUUUUUCUAUUGCAUUAGUUUGUAUUUGGCCAACCUUGUUGGUUCGAUUUUUAUUUUUUCUUCUUAGGCAUAACCAAAUAAAUAUUGGAGGGCUAAUGAAUGUCCUAUUUUAACAUAUGAUCACGACAAAUGGUCUCUUGGCAGCUUGAUUUUAUGAUCCGUGUCUCUAUGCACUGUGACCUUAGGCACUUUGGUGGUCUCAGGCCUAGAUAAAUUGAAAAGAAGUAUCUUGGAGUCAUUCCCUUCAUUUUAGUAGUGGUAAUUAGCAAGAGCUCAGGACUAUUUGGCUCCAAUUUUUUUAUUACAAAACUUUAUUUUGUCUUAGUUUUCUUUUUUUGACAAAUGAAUUUUCGGAAACAGUGAAUGGAGGUCCAGUGAAACUUUAGGUUUUAUUAUCUUUGCAUUCAUUAUUAUUUUCUUUGCGGUUAUUCUUUUGGCUAACCUUGUGGCUAAACAUGUAGAGUGGCAGUUCUUGUAAACAGGCACUAUAUGAGUAUGAUAGGCUUUGACAUUUGUUUUGUUGUGCCUUCGAUUAUCUUCUUCUACUUGGGUUGCAGUGACUUACUAUGAGCGGUUCCCAUGGUUUUCAAUUUUUGAAUUUACCUUAACUUUUCUUUACUCUGUCAUGUCAUGCUUUUAAGAAAAUUAGUUUUCUCAAAUCCCCAUGCUUCUGGUUGAGCUUUUACAGGAAAACUAUAGAUAUAUGGGGCAGGUUUCGGAAAUAAUUAUUGGACUUUACAGGGAAUUCAUGGGCUACCCAAAAUGAGGUGUGAAUUAUGUGAUAUGUGAAGCUCAAUGUUUUUAUUAACGGUACAUUGUAGUAUCUGAAUUAAUUUUUAACUGGCUCAACUUGUUGGUUUGAUUAUAAUCUUGGUUGUAUUUUGAUGGUGUAUGGUUCAUAAGUGGCAUUGUGAGCAUGGGACAAGUGCGGUUGGACUUUAUUUUUUGAUUUGAUAGUUUGCUUCUUGGUUUGAAAAGUUUAGGAUUUAGGGUUUAUUUGACGCCUUUUGGAUAAUCCUCUGAUAUAGGUCUUUGGCUCUUUAUUAGUUUUCCAAACCUUUGAUUCAUUAUUCUUGAUGAGUAAGCAUAUGGGUUGAGUUGUUGAGGUAUGAAUUUGUUUGAAAUUGUUUCAUGUCCCUGGAGUCUUAUUUUGACUGACAGCAAUGUCUCUUACUAUGAAUGACAGUAAUCUCUGAGCCUAUUAUGUGUAUGGAAAUUUUUGAAGUCAGUAUAAUAAUAUCUCACAACUUUGGUCACAUUUCUAUUUUACAUAUAAAUUAUUAACAAAGGGAGGAGAUAAAACAAGUUGUUAUGUAGUAGUAGAAUCUAUUUCUCUUUGAAAUUAUUGUUAAGGACCUACGAGUCAAGUUUUUAUAUUUAAUUUUUUUCCUAUACCAGUCAAUGAUAUAACUCAGCCGUGAAUCUUGAUCAUUCCUUUCUAUAUAUAUACCCAAUAUCUGUUUUGUUGGUAUUGCUUCAGUUAUUGUUGUGAUUCUUUACAAGGUUUUGUGGAAUUACAUGAUGUUUGUGUCGUGGGAUAGAAGAAUUAUUAAGAAUUAUUAGUAAACCGCUUCAUGAAAUUUGAUAUUAGUUUUUUUUUUUCCUUUUUAAAAUGCAGAGGUUUCAAUAUUCAUCAAAUUAAAUGCAUUAGUCAAAUGUUAAAUGCAAUAGUCACAUGGUUUUUAUAAUAAAAUUUAAAUAUAAUAAUAAUAUUAUAUGUAUAUAUAUAUUAUUUUUUAUUAUUGGCCUUUUUGUAAUAAAAUUUAAAUAUAAUAAUAAUAUUGUAUAUAUAUAUAUUAUUUUUUAAAUUAAAAUAAUAACUAUGUGUCUAUUUU